UCAAAACGAUGAUUUUUAUCACACAUUUAUCUUAACUUUCAUCGGACUACUGGUGUUGUCUUUAAUUACUCUUCGUCAAGCUACAAUUUCUCUCCAUCAAACAAAUAGAUAAUUUACUAAUAAAUUUACCUGGCAAUGAAACAUGAUCUCUACUCAUCAACACCCAAUAAACUUGGCCAAAAUCUUUUCGCAAAAGUGAUUUCAAACAUAUAUUAAUGCUAAAACAAAUAAUGCAAUUCAGAUUCAGACUAAUAAUG
rnacentral:lncRNA from 1 species